rnacentral:rRNA from 1 species
UGUAAGCGUAUACCAAAGUUGUUGCAGUUAAAACGCUCGUAGUCGGAAUUUGGCAGUUCCGGAUGUGUGCACGUCGUGUGCGCACUUCGCGGGGAUUGCUUUUGUGGUCUUGCGUAGGAUGAGGCACUUUUAUUAGUGAACGUCCUCACGCAACCACUUUUUACUGUGAGAAAAUCAGAGUGCUCAAAGCAGGCAUUUGCCGUGAAUGUAUUAGCAUGGAAUAAUAGAAUAGGACUUGGUUCUAUUUUGUUGGUUUGUUGGGACUGAGUAAUGAUUAAGAGGGACAGUUGGGGGCAUUUGUAUUUCGGUGCUAGAGGUGAAAUUCUUAGAUUACCGAAAGACUAACUGCUGCGAAAGCGUCUGCCAAGGAUGUUUUCAUUGA